AGGGUUUAAUCCUGGUUCAGGAUGAACGCUGGCGGCGUGCUUAACGCAUGCAAGUCGAGCGAGAUUUGUUCUUCGGAGCUUUUCUAGCGGCGGACGGGUGAGUAACACGUGGGCAACCUGCCUCAUAGAGGGGAAUAUCCUUCCGAAAGGAAGAUUAAUACCGCAUAAUAUUGUUGAAAGGCAUCUUUUAACAAUCAAAGGAGCAAUCCGCUAUGAGAUGGGCCCGCGGCGCAUUAGCUAGUUGGUGAGGUAACGGCUCACCAAGGCGACGAUGCGUAGCCGGCCUGAGAGGGCGGACGGCCACAUUGGGACUGAGACACGGCCCAAACUCCUACGGGAGGCAGCAGUAGGGAAUUUUCGUCAAUGGGGGGAACCCUGAACGAGCAAUGCCGCGUGAGUGAGGAAGGUCUUCGGAUCGUAAAGCUCUGUUGUAAGAGAAAAACGGCACUCAUAGGGAAUGAUGAGUGAGUGAUGGUAUCUUACCAGAAAGUCACGGCUAACUACGUGCCAGCAGCCGCGGUAAUACGUAGGUGGCGAGCGUUAUCCGGAAUGAUUGGGCGUAAAGGGUGCGUAGGUGGCAGAUCAAGUCUGGAGUAAAAGGUAUGGGCUCAACCCGUACUGGCUCUGGAAACUGAUCAGCUAGAGAACAGAAGAGGACGGCGGAACUCCAUGUGUAGCGGUAAAAUGCGUAGAUAUAUGGAAGAACACCGGUGGCGAAGGCGGCCGUCUGGUCUGGAUUCUGACACUGAAGCACGAAAGCGUGGGGAGCAAAUAGGAUUAGAUACCCUAGUAGUCCACGCCGUAAACGAUGAGAACUAGGUGUUGGGGGAAUAACUCAGUGCCGCAGUUAACGCAAUAAGUUCUCCGCCUGGGGAGUAUGCACGCAAGUGUGAAACUCAAAGGAAUUGACGGGGGCCCGCACAAGCGGUGGAGUAUGUGGUUUAAUUCGAAGCAACGCGAAGAACCUUACCAGGCCUUGACAUCCCUUGCAGAGGUAUAGAGAUAUAUCCGAGGUUAACAAGGAGACAGGUGGUGCAUGGUUGUCGUCAGCUCGUGUCGUGAGAUGUUGGGUUAAGUCCCGCAACGAGCGCAACCCUUGUGAUAUGUUACUAACAUUGAGUUGAGGACUCAUAUCAGACUGCCGGUGAUAAACCGGAGGAAGGUGGGGAUGACGUCAAAUCAUCAUGCCCCUUAUGGCCUGGGCUACACACGUACUACAAUGGCGUCUACAAAGAGCGGCAAGCCUGUGAAGGCAAGCGAAUCUCAUAAAGGACGUCUCAGUUCGGAUUGAAGUCUGCAACCCGACUUCAUGAAGCUGGAAUCGCUAGUAAUCGCGAAUCAGCAUGUCGCGGUGAAUACGUUCUCGGGCCUUG
rnacentral:rRNA from 1 species